AGUGGGAUAGCUGGGUCAAAUGGUGGUUCCAUUCCAAGUUUUCUGAGGUAUCUCCAUUCUUCUUUCCAGAAUGGUUGCACCAAUUUGCAAUCCCAUCGGCAAU
rnacentral:pre_miRNA from 1 species